rnacentral:tRNA from 1 species
GCGUUGGUAGUUCAGUGGUAGAACCCUAGCUUUCCAUGAUAGAAAACUGGGUUCGAUUCCUGGCCAAUAUA